rnacentral:rRNA from 1 species
CCUGAACGCUGGCGGCGUGGCUAAGACAUGCAAGUCGCACGGUGUAGCAAUACACAGUGGCGAACGGGUGAGUAAUGAAUCGCUAAUGUACCCCGGACUCUGGGAUAGCUGCCCGAAAGGGCAGGUAAUACCAGAUGAGACCACGAUCAGGCAUCUGAUUGUGCUCAAAGGUCCGCCGGUCUGGGAGCAGGCGAUUUCGU